GUCGAACGGUAACAGGAAGCAGCUUGCUGCUUCGCUGACGAGUGGCGGACGGGUGAGUAAUGUCUGGGAAACUGCCUGAUGGAGGGGGAUAACUACUGGAAACGGUAGCUAAUACCGCAUAACGUCGCAAGACCAAAGAGGGGGACCUUCGGGCCUCUUGCCAUCGGAUGUGCCCAGAUGGGAUUAGCUAGUAGGUGGGGUAACGGCUCACCUAGGCGACGAUCCCUAGCUGGUCUGAGAGGAUGACCAGCCACACUGGAACUGAGACACGGUCCAGACUCCUACGGGAGGCAGCAGUGGGGAAUAUUGCACAAUGGGCGCAAGCCUGAUGCAGCCAUGCCGCGUGUAUGAAGAGGGCCUUCGGGUUGUAAAGUACUUUCAGCGGGGAGGAAGGUGUUGAGGUUAAUAACCUCAGCAAUUGACGUUACCCGCAGAAGAAGCACCGGCUAACUCCGUGCCAGCAGCCGCGGUAAUACGGAGGGUGCAAGCGUUAAUCGGAAUUACUGGGCGUAAAGCGCACGCAGGCGGUCUGUCAAGUCGGAUGUGAAAUCCCCGGGCUCAACCUGGGAACUGCAUUCGAAACUGGCAGGCUAGAGUCUUGUAGAGGGGGGUAGAAUUCCAGGUGUAGCGGUGAAAUGCGUAGAGAUCUGGAGGAAUACCGGUGGCGAAGGCGGCCCCCUGGACAAAGACUGACGCUCA
rnacentral:rRNA from 1 species